UUUUUUACCUAAGUCACUUGUUUUCAUGUUUUUGACUUAGCGGACUUUUCUUUUGCCUUUUUAUUUUAUUUUGAAUUUCUAUUUUUUUCGCAUUGGAACAAAUCAUGUGACAUUUGUUUGCUUAUUGGUGAGGGAGAACCAUUGCAGAUUUGUGGUUCUCGACCUCGCAUGAGGGAUAAGAUGUGGUUGAUCCUCAUAUGGGAUAUUUCCUUUUUGAAAUUUGGACGCAUGGUUAAGUUAAGUGAAGACUAUCCUGCCUCUGGUUAAGAUUGAG
rnacentral:lncRNA from 1 species